AGAGUUUGAUCCUGGCUCAGGAUGAACGCUAGCGGCAGGCUUAACACAUGCAAGUCGAGGGGCAGCAUAAUGGAUAGCAAUAUCUAUGGUGGCGACCGGCGCACGGGUGCGUAACGCGUAUGCAACCUACCUUUAACAGGGGGAUAACACUGAGAAAUUGGUACUAAUACCCCAUAAUAUCAUAGAAGGCAUCUUUUAUGGUUGAAAAUUCCGAUGGUUAGAGAUGGGCAUGCGUUGUAUUAGCUAGUUGGUGGGGUAACGGCUCACCAAGGCGACGAUACAUAGGGGGACUGAGAGGUUAACCCCCCACACUGGUACUGAGACACGGACCAGACUCCUACGGGAGGCAGCAGUGAGGAAUAUUGGUCAAUGGACGCAAGUCUGAACCAGCCAUGCCGCGUGCAGGAAGACGGCUCUAUGAGUUGUAAACUGCUUUUGUACGAGGGUAAACUCACCUACGUGUAGGUGACUGAAAGUAUCGUACGAAUAAGGAUCGGCUAACUCCGUGCCAGCAGCCGCGGUAAUACGGAGGAUUCAAGCGUUAUCCGGAUUUAUUGGGUUUAAAGGGUGCGUAGGCGGUUUGAUAAGUUAGAGGUGAAAUCCCGGGGCUUAACUCCGGAACUGCCUCUAAUACUGUUAGACUAGAGAGUAGUUGCGGUAGGCGGAAUGUAUGGUGUAGCGGUGAAAUGCUUAGAGAUCAUACAGAACACCGAUUGCGAAGGCAGCUUACCAAACUAUAUCUGACGUUGAGGCACGAAAGCGUGGGGAGCAAACAGGAUUAGAUACCCUGGUAGUCCACGCAGUAAACGAUGAUAACUCGUUGUCGGCGAUACACAGUCGGUGACUAAGCGAAAGCGAUAAGUUAUCCACCUGGGGAGUACGUUCGCAAGAAUGAAACUCAAAGGAAUUGACGGGGGCCCGCACAAGCGGAGGAACAUGUGGUUUAAUUCGAUGAUACGCGAGGAACCUUACCCGGGCUUGAAAGUUACUGACGAUUCUGGAAACAGGAUUUCCCUUCGGGGCAGGAAACUAGGUGCUGCAUGGUUGUCGUCAGCUCGUGCCGUGAGGUGUCGGGUUAAGUCCCAUAACGAGCGCAACCCCUACCGUUAGUUGCCAUCAGGUCAAGCUGGGCACUCUGGCGGGACUGCCGGUGUAAGCCGAGAGGAAGGUGGGGAUGACGUCAAAUCAGCACGGCCCUUACGUCCGGGGCUACACA
rnacentral:rRNA from 1 species